rnacentral:rRNA from 1 species
UACGAAGAGGGCUAGCGUUGUUCGGAAUGACUGGGCGUAAAGGGCGCGUAGGCGGUUGAUCAAGUUGGGGGUGAAAGCCCGGGGCUUAACCUCGGAAUUGCCUUCAAGACUGGUCAGCUAGAGUGUGGAAGAGGGUUGUGGAAUUCCCAGUGUAGAGGUGAAAUUCGUAGAUAUUGGGAAGAACACCAGUGGCGAAGGCGACAACCUGGUCCAUUACUGACGCUGAGGCGCGACAGCGUGGGGAGCAAACAGGAUUAGAUACCCUGGUAGUCCACGCCGUAAACGAUGAGUGCUGGAUGUUGGGCGGUUGCCGCUCAGUGUCGAAGUUAACGCGAUAAGCACUCCGCCUGGGGAGUACGGCCGCAAGGUUGAA